UACGUAGGGUGCAAGCGUUGUCCGGAAUUAUUGGGCGUAAAGAGCUCGUAGGCGGUCUGUCGCGUCGGAUGUGAAAAUCCAGGGCUCAACCCUGGACCUGCAUUCGAUACGGGCAGACUAGAGUUCGGUAGGGGAGAAUGGAAUUCCUGGUGUAGCGGUGAAAUGCGCAGAUAUCAGGAGGAACACCGAUGGCGAAGGCAGCUCGCUGGGACGGUACUGAGCUGAGACGCGAAAGCGUGGGGAGCAAACAGG
rnacentral:rRNA from 1 species